UCUCCUCUCGUUAUUCUUUCUUCUUUUGUUCUCUUUUCUUCUCCGGAGAUUCUGAGAAUCGAUUUAAGGGAAUCGAUCGAUGAUGUUGUUAAUAUAUAAUCAAAGAAGGUUUAGUGGUGGUGUUCAUGUUGGUGGAUCAUGAGAAGAAGAGGAGAUGACGAUCUGUAGAGAAACCAGAUAGUUCAAGCCAUAGAAUAAUUGAUUAAUUGAAGGAGGAUUUGAUUAGUUGGCGAUGAAGAACAAAAGGGGUUAGUGUUUAAGUGAAGUUCUGAAGAUGAUUCAGUGAUGAAUCGGUAAGUUAGGGUUUCAUGAGGAGAGCUCUGAGAAAAUUUAGAAAGUGAAUAUGAUGCUAUAGAUAGAUGAUUAGAGAAUGGGUUUUGUAUUUUGAGAACAAACAAGAAGAAUUGGGUAUUCAAUUUGAGAAUUGGUUACAGAGAAGAAGUUAAUUCGAGAUUGAGGUUUUCGGGUUUUCUGAGUUAAGGUAUAAUUCGAAUUAGGUGUUGUUUAAGAAAGAUUGGAGAUGGGUUUUGUUGAUUUGAAGAGUUAGGUCAUUGUUUGGGUUCGAAUUAGAGAAAUCUUGUGUUUGGGAAUGGAAUUAGGUCUUGAUGCAGUUGAAUUAGAGAUUAAGUUGGGUUUAUCUGUUGUAUUCCAGUAAAGGUGAUAAGGAUUUAAUGGAUGUUGUUUGAAGAUGAGGUGUUGAAACAGAUCAAGGCAAAGAAGGAAGGAAUUCAAUUGUUUGAGCAACACAGAUUGGAGGUAAUUAUUAUUCUAAGUUCAUUUUGUUAAGAUGUUCGUUUUGGUUGUUGAAUGUUUGAUGUUAAUGGAGAUAAGAUUGAAAUGAAUGUAUAUGAACCUGUGUUGGAAUUGGAGAUGUAGAUUAGGUCUGCAAUGAGUUACAGUUGAAGAUUAGAGGUUUGAGAUGUAUAAGUUGGUGCUCUGUAUGGAAUUGAAUGUAAGUAAGUUAUGAUCUUCUUAUGGUGUUGGUGGUUGGUGGUCUUAGUUGAAGUUGUAACUAAAGAACUGAAGGGGAAGUUGUUAUGGUUGUGAAUGAGUUAAAAGGAAAAUGAACGUAAGAGUGGUGUAAUGGAAGUAUUGAAGUAUAGUGGUAAAGUUAUUGUUGAGACCGUGAGGUGGUGAUGUUGUAAGGAAUAUGAGUGGCUGGAUAUGGUGGUCUUGUCUGUGUGGUUGAAUGACAAAACUAGAUUUAGUGCUAGUUACGAAACUGUGGUUGAAUCAGUUGGGUGCGUAUGAUAUUGAGUGAUUUUGCUAUUGAGGGUGAAAUGAAUAUGUAGUUGAGGUUUUAGAUAGAAUCUGGUGGAACUGAACUCAAUGGUUGAUGUUUAGAGGAAUAAGUGGUGAUGUUGUUGAAGUUGCAAGGAAUAUGAGUGGAUGGAUAUGGUGGUCUUGUCUGUGUGGUUGAAUGACAGAACUAGAUUUAGUGGUAGUUACAAAACUGUGGUUGAAUCAGUUGGGUGCGUAUGAUAUUGAGUGAUGUUGCUAUUGAGGGUGAAAUGAAUAUGUGGUUGAGGUUUUAGCUAGAAUCUGGUGGAACUGAACUCAGUGGUUGAUGUUUAGAGGAAUAGGUUAGGUCGAAUCUUUCAGUGAAAGCUUGGAACUGCAAUUGCAGUUUCAGAGACAGAUCAGAGUUGCGCAGCGAAAGCUUCAAGGGUUGAUUUCGUUAGUUGGUUAACUUCUGUUAUAUUUAUUAUAUUGUAUAUUCUAUUUGUAAACCAAAUGACUAUUGUAUAUGUAUCAUUUGAGAGGAGUCCUUGUAUAUAUAUUUCUGAGCGAGGUUAGUUUUGGGUUAAGUUUUUGUAGCAGAUUUCUUAAUUGAAAGUUUAAGUAUUUGUUUUAGAA